rnacentral:lncRNA from 1 species
UUAAUAUAGCAUAAUUUAUAUUCCCUUUAAUCUCCACUAUACAUGUGUAAUUUAUGUUACAAGUUGUUACCUAUAAGUUAUUUCCCAAUAUAUAUAUAUAUAUAUAUAUAUAUAUAUAUAUACCGGUUGUUAUAGUUUUGUAAUAACUACUCAAUAAAUAAUAGCUUUACACCUCAUUCUGUUAUCUUCUUCCUUUCCUUAUCCUGUUCAUUAUCUCUCUCUUCUUGGCUUCUUGUACCAUUAACAAUGAAUUUGAAUACUCGCGUGGUGGAGCUAGCUACGGAAGAGAGUGAUGGGACUGGAUGAAACUUGAGGAGUUAUUUCAGCAUGAUAUCCUUAAUAGGAUGAUAUCCUUAAUAGGAUAGGUGAUAUACAUCCUCCAAGAAAGAAAUAAGGCCUUGAUGAUUGCAGGUGGGGUGAUACUAACAAUGGAUCUUACUUCAUUGGUUCUUCUUAUCGUAAUUGGACUGGUACUGAGCAUUAUUCAUAAUGCGUUGAUUGGAAAAACAUGUGGCGUAUACUAAUCUUUGAACGCACUCUAGAAUUAAAUUUUUUCGCUCCACUAUUUCACAUGUAAUCAUAGGCCAUGAUCUGGUUAAUCGUAGGCCAUGAUAUCACUGAAUUUUGUUUAUGGUAAAGUUGAAACUAUUAUCCUUUUCAAAAUAACAAUUGGAAAAAAGCAAUGGCUGAGUUGGGUUGAUAACAUGAUCUUGACAAAUCUGAAGUGAUUGGCAGCUAUCUGGAGUGCAAAGCAAAGAAAAAGAAAAGCAAAAUGAGUGGAUAAUCAAAUUUGGAACCAUUGGUUUUGGUUUCAAGUUGACACACAAAACAAACAUGACAUUAAGGUA